CCAGAGAUAUCAAUUGUGUUCGCGAGAAUGCUGCUCAGCGCAUUGGACAUGGACACGAAAACGAUUUUUUUCGCGAAUUCCUGGUUUUGUAUGUAGCCCUUUCCCUUUCCUCCACUGAUCGUCGCAAUGUGUCUCAGUUUUUCACUGGAUUCAUGACUGAUUUCUUACUUGCUUGUCAUCAGACGAAAGGAACGACUUCUUCCAAACGAAAACUGUUGAUCGAUGAAUGAGUCCUGAAAGAUCAUCCAGAAAGAAGACCAUCUUAAGCAAGAAUUUCCACGGCAGAGUCGCACUUACCAGAAAGCUUAGAAGAAUUGCAAAUCAUAUUUUCCACGAGUUCUUCACUGGCGCAUUGAUCGAAAAAUGGUCGAAUCAAGGAUGACCACUAUCUUCUUCUUCGAAUACCAUCAUCUCCAGGAAAGCUGCAAUCACUUCCACUGUAGAAUACUCUUCAAACACAUAGCAUGAAGAUCCACAAGGAAACAUUGGGGGAUCUGCAUGUUCAUAGGUGUCGUUCUUUUUUCUUUUUACAAAAGCGUGAAACAGGAAUCAGUGCGUUCUUCACAAGAUGGUCAUCCUUGAUUCCCUAGCGGCCAUUUUAGAUCAAUGCCCCCACAAAGAACUCGUGGAAGAUAUGACUUGCAAUUCCUUUUUAAGUGUUCUGGUAAGUGGGACUUAGUGGAGUUCUUUGUUAAAAUGUCUUCUUGCUAGAUGACUUCCAGGAAUUCAUUCAUCAAUCAAUAGUGCCAAAA
rnacentral:lncRNA from 1 species